UUUAUUUGCAUCUGUCAACCUUCAUGAAGGAGGACAUCUUGUAAUAUAUUUGGCAACUGCUUAAUGGGAUCAAAUGGAAAGAAAUCGCAGAGGGAUUUCUCACAUAUACAAAUUUUCCUAAUUGCUUGGGUGCAAUUGAUGGAAAACAUAUAAGAGUGAUUCGGCCGCCGCACAGUGGAUCACUAUAUUUUAAUUAUAAGAAAUAUUAUUCUGUAGUGCUCCUCGCAAUGUGUGAUGCUGAUUAUAAUUUUACAUAUAUUAAUGUCGGUACCAGUGGAAGCAACGCCGAUUCAACCAUCUUUAGAAGGAGUCAAUUGUAUACGAAACUGGAAAGUAACACGUUGGGUAUCCCUGACCCGCAAGAGUUGCCUAUUAUUUGCCCCGAAGUAGCUUAUCCAUCUAGUGUAAGAGCAAAGUUGCCGUUCGUGAUAGUGGGAGACGAGGCAUUUGGUUUAUCAUCACAUGUGAUGCGGCCUUAUGCUCGUGAUAAUUUACCUUACAAAAAGAAAAUAUUUAAUUACCGUCUGUCCAGAGCUAGAAGGUACAUAGAAUGCACUUUUGGAAUUAUGUCAAAUAAAUUUA